AUAUGGUGGGACUUGACUUGGCCAAUGAGUACCUGCUCUACUUUCUGGAGCCAGUUUGCGAAAGGUACUGGCAAUGGCCUCUCUCAAAGGUUGAAAUUCGAAUAAAUUUUGUUUCCCGCUGGCCCGGUGAAAAAAUAUUGUUUUGUGUCAAGCACAAACAGUAAGGACAGGCGGUAUCCUGCUCUGUUUCAUUUCCAUUCUAGAGGAUAAACCAUUACCGGACGGCAUAUUAAAGGCGUUGCAUGUUGUCGCAGGGUGUUCGGUUUUCAUGCUCACGCUCACGCCAUCAGAGCCAAUCCUGAUGGCAUUUGGCUACGUUCGACCCAUUCAUUGGCAGAAAAUGUGGAGGUACCCAUGCUAGUUGUGCAACAAGUAUAAAGAAAAACUUGAAAAUCAGUCC
rnacentral:sRNA from 2 species